rnacentral:lncRNA from 1 species
GUUGUAGUUGUAAAAAUUCAUAGUAACAUGGGUUUUAUUACAAACGUUAUAACGUUUAAAGAUGUGUAUUGUAAUUUUACACACAUCUAUGUCAUUGUCAUUCUUUGGAAUGUGACGUAAACAAACACUGUCUAGAACAAGGUAGAUAAUCUGGAUGCAAUAAUCGUCGUUCUCAGCUAACACGAGUCUUACCAGCUUAAAUGAAUAAUCCAUGAAACACACAUAAUCCAAAGAAUAACUUCAUAACAAUUUUAAUAGAAGGUGACAGCUGAAUAUACAAAUAUGCGGUCUAGAGUUGAUAACAAACUGACGUUGUUCCAAUCGAAAUCUAGACGGCACAAUAUUCAUAGCUG